UCGUAUAACGGAGAUGCCUAAGGCUGUCGCUGACCUCCAUAGAUCGUGCACGCCCGAAGGUGCUCUCUCACAUCCAUCUCACCCCUUUGUGCAUCACCGCGUGUGCUCCCCUAUUGGGCUUGUUCCAAAGGAGGGUUCGCGUUUUUAUACAAACACCAAUUUUAAAAAGCAUGUGUAGAAUGUCUUACUUUUUGUGAUUACUCGCAAUCAAUA
rnacentral:misc_RNA from 1 species